UACGUAGGGGGCGAGCGUUGUCCGGAUUCAUUGGGCGUAAAGCGCGCGUAGGCGGCUUCGUAAGUCGGCCGUGAAAUCUCCAGGCUUAACCUGGAGGGGUCGGGCGAGACUGCGGAGCUCGAGGUGGGCAGAGGGCAGUGGAAUUCCGGGUGUAGUGGUGGAAUGCGUAGAGAUCCGGAGGAACACCAGUGGCGAAGGCGACUUCCUGGCCUGUUCUUGACGCUGAGGCGCGAAAGCUAGGGGAGCAAACGGG
rnacentral:rRNA from 1 species